rnacentral:lncRNA from 1 species
CCCCAACUCUCACGAGCGGUCCGGGCGACUCACCCCGACGAUGUCCCUCAGCGACCUAGAAGCCGCCACACACGUCUCUUCCGCCAGCAGCGACCCCGCCUCGUGGCCACCGCCCCCUCGACCGCCGCCGUCGCCGCCUUCCUCGCCGCCGCCGUCGCGGCGCGCGCCCGCUUUCACGCACACCGCCGUGGCCGCGCACGCGCUCUGCGCGCUGGCGUCACUUAGCAACGGCUCAACCGUGGGCCAGUAGAACCCAGGACGCCAGGGCCCCAGGUCGCCUCAGGCGGGGGUCUUGCGGCGUGUUUCCCCAGGUCGGAGCCACUGCCCCUCCAGUACUGGGCCCUGAGGGUGUGGCCGCCCUGCCGACACCUGGCUCAGGGUGAGGCACGUCAUCACACGUCACUGAAUAGCGUCAUCGGUCGCGUCACUGCGUAAGGGGACGAGCCGGAGCGCCGGUUGGAGAAAGCCUCGUCUUUCUGCACUUAGUCGCUUGCCUGAUGGACAGUCAGCUACGUGCGAGAAGUUGGACGAGGAGAAUGGGCCAAGAGAGGCAUUACCAGCAUGAAGGUGCUACGAGGCCAGGCCUGAAAUACCACGACUCAGUUUCCUCCUUCUGUCAGUGGGAAGACGGAUACCCGACUUGCCUGCGCUAGAAAGGUGUCAACUUAGGACGAAAUAAUGCAUGCGAGGCUGCGGGCGAACUGAUCUCAUUCGAACUCCUUAUUUCAAGACCCUGACAGAAAGCCCGGACAUAAGUCCUCGACACUCCAGGACUACCAAGUGUAACGUAUAAAGCCCAUUAGACUCCAUCUUUCACAUAAGAAGCAGGCACUGUGAACUUUGAAGCCGUAGAAAUUGGGUUGUAGGUCUUUCCUGGCCGAAACUGGAGAGUCGUCACUCUUGAAAGUUACUUACCUGGGUGUGUGGGUUUGAAGAUGGAAGACUUAAUUCCAAGCAAAGACGACUUAAAUGGGCAGUGAAAAUGAACAGACACAGCAAGGGUUAGGGCUGGGCCAGUGAAGGAUCAGAGCCACAACCUAGACUCUGGCGGUGGGGAUGGAAACGCGGAGGCCAGCUCUGAGCGGGGGAAUGAAUAGGAUAAUGUUUCCCACCAAGACCCAUGCCCCCAUCACCAUAAUCUGCUGAUCUGUUCUGGAAAGUGACAGAAGGAAGUUGCAGACCUGGUUCAGUAAAAGUUAUGAAGAGAUUGCUCUGAUGCUGCCCCGCUGGGCUAGGGACAAGAGCAACAGAGUCAGAAAAAAAGCUUAUGAGAGAAGCAGGGGAGACUGCUUUGAAGCUACUGCCAGUCAGCCUUAAAAACGGAACAAAGGACUACAGGCAGCCUAUAGAAGCUAGAAAGGGCAAGCGACUGGGUUCUUGAAUCUAGGGCUUGAUCUCUAGAAGUGUAACAAGAAUUGGUAUAAGCCACACAGUUUCUACUAACUUGUCACAACAGCUGUAAGAAACUAGUACAGCUGAGAAUAAAGACAACAGCUUCCCCGUGUAUUCCUGGCUUCCCGGUUUAUCUAGGAAAAGAGAGGACCAUUGAUCAAGCUGCCUCACAGACUGAGCACUGUGACUACGGUCUGAUGGAGGGGUCCUCCAGGUUUAGAGGAAAAUAUCAAAUUACCCAGGUCCGUGACUGAUGAGAGAAGCUGAGGUUUGAAGGACAUUAAGCCUAGGCAUGGAUGAGAUCAAUCAAAGAAGAAAAAACCAAAAACCUAACCUCCACUUCUAGGUUAGAUUCAGCUGCUGAUAACAGCAACCAUUAACAAAUCCAACUAAUUUCACCAAACACUUGAGAACUAAUAUAAAAUGUGCCGAGCUCUGUCCAGACAAUUAUGACUAUCACUCAGUAUAAGGGUAAAACAGCUAAUAGACCAAGGUUUAGAGCCAGGACAGGCAGUACCUUCCUAGGAACUUAGAAGUACUGAAUUGAUGUAAAUGCUCUUUCUCCAUACUGUUAAUAUACUAUCCAUGCAUUACAUCAUUUACUCAGUAAUGCUGAUUACCACAUGCCAGGUACACGGUUCCUAUACCUGUGCUGCCUGUGUUUCAAUAUGGUGUAGGCAUUACUAGCUCAUAUAGGUCUUGUAAUGGCCUUUCAGGUACAUAUUACAUUAUAAGUACUAAUUAUAAUGCAUAUAAAUAAAAAAGCUACAUCACAGAAAGCUUACAUAAUUACUCAAGAUCACAAAAUUAGUAAGAGAGCCAAGUUCCCAAUACUACAAUCCUGGAACUGUACCCAUUCAUACCAUGUACUCCCGGAUCACUGGGAGGGGUGCUAGAAAACAUGGCUUACAGAACACAGCAAUGUUUGUGUUACAGGGCUUCUGUGUAUGAUCCCACUCCACUCUUUACAUGAACACCAGAGAAUUCUUUCCGAAUUGGAAGUUACAAGUCUGUUAACCACCCAUGAUAACCACUGUGUCUGUGAUGUUAAUAAUCUGAUUAUGGGGCUGGAGAGAUGGCUCAGCGGCUAAGAUUACUGACUGCUCUUCCGAAGGUCAUGGGUUCAAAUCCCAGCAACCACAUGGUGGCUUACAACCAUCCUCAAUGAGAUCUGUCGCCCUCUUCUGGAGUGUCUGAAGACAACUACAGUGUACUUACAAAUAAUAAAUCUUUUUAAAAUAUAAUCU